ACGAACGCUGGCGGCGUGCUUAACCCCUGCCAGUCGAACGGAAAGGCCCUGCUUGCAGGGUACUCGAGUGGCGAACGGGUGAGUAACACGUGGGUGAUCUGCCCUGCACUUCGGGAUAAGCCUGGGAAACUGGGUCUAAUACCGGAUAGGAGCCAUUUUUAGUGUGAUGGUUGGAAAGUUUUUUUCGGUGUAGGAUGAGCUCGCGGCCUAUCAGCUUGUUGGUGGGGUAAUGGCCUACCAAGGCGGCGACGGGUAGCCGGCCUGAGAGGGUGGACGGCCACAUUGGGACUGAGAUACGGCCCAGACUCCUACGGGAGGCAGCAGUGGGGAAUAUUGCACAAUGGGCGCAAGCCUGAUGCAGCGACGCCGCGUGGGGGAUGACGGCCUUCGGGUUGUAAACUCCUUUCGCUAGGGACGAAGCUUUUUGUGACGGUACCUAGAUAAGAAGCACCGGCUAACUACGUG
rnacentral:rRNA from 1 species